rnacentral:tRNA from 1 species
ACUUCUAUAGCUCAGUUGGAUAGAGCGUUGCCCUCCGAAGGCAAAGGUCGCAGGUUCAAAUCCCGCUAGAAGUA